CUCAGAUAGAGCAGUGGUUAAGAACAGAGUGACAUCUGAGGCUCGGCCGGUUGGAGUGAAGGAGAUAGUGGCCCUUGGCUUAUGAAGGAGGUCUCGUCCCAGCAAGGGGAAUGGGCAGUCCAGUACCACCAGAAAAGAGUUUCAGCUGCCCUCCCCCUGAAGAUAGACCCGGUCCUGAUGGGAGGCGAAGAUGACUCCAACUUACCCAGUACAGUGGUCUGGUGGUCCGGUGUCCUCUGCGUCUUUGUAGUGUGGAACCAAGUGGCUGUACAGGGAAGAGGCCAGAGGAGAGGGGGUGUCCAGUGGAUUGCUGCUGGGGCGCAGGCUGAUUCGGCGUGUUCCGCACGACUUGCAACCUUGGUAUGGC
rnacentral:lncRNA from 1 species